rnacentral:rRNA from 1 species
UACAGAGGUCCCAAGCGUUGUUCGGAUUCACUGGGCGUAAAGGGUGCGUAGGUGGCGCGCUAAGUCAGGUGUGAAAUUUCGGAGCUUAACUCCGAAACUGCAUUUGAUACUGGCGUGCUUGAGGACUGGAGAGGAGACUGGAAUUCAUGGUGUAGCAGUGAAAUGCGUAGAGAUCAUGAGGAAGACCAGUGGCGAAGGCGGGUCUCUGGACAGUUCCUGACACUGAGGCACGAAGGCCAGGGGAGCAAACGGG